rnacentral:rRNA from 1 species
ACACAUUUUAGAGCCUUAUUCACCUUAAUUAAAAAUUAAAAUUACAUUCAAAUCCUUAUUCAAAGCUUUAUUUAUAAAACUUAUCCUUAAAUAAAUUUAUUGUAAUCCAUCUCUCCUAAUAUAAGCUGCACCUUGAUCUGAUUUACAAUACAAUAAUAUAUUAAAAUUAUAUAUUUAUAAAAAUAAUUAACAACGACGAUAUACAAGCAAAAUAUAAGUUUUAUUAAUCGUGAACUAUCGAUUACAGGACAGAUUCCCCUGAUAGGAAUAAAAAACCGCCAAAUUUUUUGAUUUUAAAGAACAUAACUAAUAUUCAUCUGGUUAAUUAUAUUUCUACGUAAAGAAUAAUGGGGUAUCUAAUCCCAGUUUAUAAACUAGAUUUCUUAACUUUUUAAUCAAAAAUUUAAUUAAAUAUAAAAUAGGAUUCCACCCAAUAUUUAAUAAAAUAAAAAUUAAUUUUUAAUAAUUAAAUAUAACCAAAUAAAAAAAAUUGUAUCAAUUGUCUAACCGCA